rnacentral:rRNA from 1 species
GACGAACGCUGGCGGCGUGCUUAACACAUGCAAGUCGAGCGGAAAGGCCCUUCGGGGUACUCGAGCGGCGAACGGGUGAGUAACACGUGAGUAACCUGCCCCAGACUUUGGGAUAACCCUCGGAAACGGGGGCUAAUACCGGAUACGACACAGCUUCGCAUGGGGUCUGUGUGGAAAGUUUUUCGGUUUGGGAUGGGAUCGCGGCCUAUCAGCUUGUUGGUGGGGUGAUGGCCUACCAAGGCGACGACGGGUAGCCGGCCUGAGAGGGCGACCGGCCACACUGGGACUGAGACACGGCCCAGACUCCUACGGGAGGCAGCAGUGGGGAAUAUUGCACAAUGGGCGGAAGCCUGAUGCAGCGACGCCGCGUGAGGGAUGACGGCCUUCGGGUUGUAAACCUCUUUCAGCAGGGACGAAGCGUAAGUGACGGUACCUGCAGAAGAAGCGCCGGCCAACUACGUG